rnacentral:rRNA from 1 species
CCUACGGGAGGCAGCAGUGGGGAAUCUUCCGCAAUGGACGAAAGUCUGACGGAGCAACACCGCGUGAGAGAAGAAGGUUUUCGGAUUGUAAAUCUCUGUCUUCUGGGAAGAAUGGCUUCCAUGUAAAUAAUGUGGGAGCAUGACGGUACUAGAGGAGGAAGCCACGGCUAACUACGUGCCAGCAGCCGCGGUAAUACGUAGGUGGCAAGCGUUGUCCGGAAUUAUUGGGCGUAAAGCGCGCGCAGGCGGGAAUGUAAGUCUGUCUUAAAAGUGCGGUGCUCAACGCCGUGAUGGGACAGAAACUAUAUUUCUUGAGUGCAGGAGAGGACAGUGGAAUUCCCAGUGUAGCGGUGAAAUGCGUAGAUAUUGGGAGGAACACCAGUGGCGAAGGCGACUGUCUGGACUGUGUCUGACGCUGAGGCGCGAAAGCCAGGGUAGUGAACGGGAUUAGAUACCCCGGUAAUCCUGGCCGUAAACGAUGGGUACUAGGUGUUGGGGGUAUCGACCCCUCCAGUGCCGGAGUUAACGCAAUAAGUACCCCGCCUGGGGAGUACGGCCGCAAGGAGAAACUCAAAGGAAUUGACGG